AGAGUUUGAUCCUGGCUCAGGACGAACGCUGGCGGCGUGCCUAAUACAUGCAAGUCGAACGAAGCUUUCUUUCACCGAAUGCUUGCAUUCAUCGAAAGAAAGCUUAGUGGCGAACGGGUGAGUAACACGUAGGCAACCUGCCCAAAAGAGGGGGAUAACACUUGGAAACAGGUGCUAAUACCGCAUAACCAUGAACACCGCAUGAUGUUCAUGUAAAAGACGGCUUUUGCUGUCACUUUUGGAUGGGCCUGCGGCGUAUUAACUUGUUGGUGGGGUAACGGCCUACCAAGGUGAUGAUACGUAGCCGAACUGAGAGGUUGAACGGCCACAUUGGGACUGAGACACGGCCCAAACUCCUACGGGAGGCAGCAGUAGGGAAUCUUCCACAAUGGACGAAAGUCUGAUGGAGCAACGCCGCGUGAAUGAAGAAGGCCUUCGGGUCGUAAAAUUCUGUUGUCAGAGAAGAACGUGCGUGAGAGUAACUGUUCACGUAUUGACGGUAUCUGACCAGAAAGCCACGGCUAACUACGUGCCAGCAGCCGCGGUAAUACGUAGGUGGCGAGCGUUGUCCGGAUUUAUUGGGCGUAAAGGGAACGCAGGCGGUCUUUUAAGUCUGAUGUGAAAGCCUUCGGCUUAACCGAAGUAGUGCAUUGGAAACUGGAAGACUUGAGUGCAGAAGAGGAGAGUGGAACUCCAUGUGUAGCGGUGGAAUGCUUAGAUAUAUGGAAGAACACCAGUGGCGAAAGCGGCUCUCUGGUCUGUAACUGACGCUGAGGUUCGAAAGCGUGGGUAGCAAACAGGAUUAGAUACACUGGUAGUCCACGCCGUAAACGAUGAGUGCUAA
rnacentral:rRNA from 1 species